rnacentral:rRNA from 1 species
UGGGGAAUAUUGGACAAUGGGCGAAAGCCUGAUCCAGCCAUGCCGCGUGUGUGAAGAAGAUCUUCGGAUUGUAAAGCACUUUAAGUUGGGAGGAAGGGCAUUAACCUAAUACGUUAGUGUUUUGACGUUACCGACAGAAUAAGCACCGGCUAACUCUGUGCCAGCAGCCGCGGUAAUACAGAGGGUGCAAGCGUUAAUCGGAAUUACUGGGCGUAAAGCGCGCGUAGGUGGUUUGUUAAGUUGGAUGUGAAAUCCCCGGGCUCAACCUGGGAACUGCAUUCAAAACUGACUGACUAGAGUAUGGUAGAGGGUGGUGGAAUUUCCUGUGUAGCGGUGAAAUGCGUAGAUAUAGGAAGGAACACCAGUGGCGAAGGCGACCACCUGGACUAAUACUGACACUGAGGUGCGAAAGCGUGGGGAGCAAACA